AACUGGUCCUUCCCACACUACCUUCACCAAGGCAAUCUCUCUACCAUGCAACUACUUCACUUCCCGAUCCUUUAUCAAUAUGGGUGAUGUCUUAACAGUCAUGUCAUCUCUCUAUGCACAUCAUUCACCUAGAUCAGAUGAGACGGAUCCAGAAUGUAUCUCCUUAAAUGAGACACAUGAAAUACAUCAUGAAGAUUAGCAAGUGGCGGCGGCAGAGAAA
rnacentral:lncRNA from 1 species